UUUCAGUAGAUAGAUUUAGUGACUGAGGUUGAGCUGGAGAUAUUGACCAAGAGAAUUAAGCAUAUUAAUGGGAUGGCACAAAUGAAGCAAGCUAAGUUUGGAUCCGUUGACAUGGACUUUGUUCUUGGAGUGGGAGGUUAUGAUCUUGAUAGGAUUGAUUCUGAAGUUCAGGUAGAUAAUUCCUGUUCUACAACUCAUCAACAUGAAACUGAAAAAAGUAUUAUUUUCUUUCUCUGAUUUUUCCUUUCCAAUCUUUUUUCUCUGUUUUUUUUCCU